rnacentral:rRNA from 1 species
GGGAAUUCGAUUAGAGUUUGAUCAUGGCUCACCCUUACGCUGGCGGCACGCCUAAUACAUGCAAGUCAAACGACGUAGCAAUACUUAGUGGCAGACGGGUGAGUAACAUGUGGGUAUCUUCCCUUUGGUGAGGAAUAACACGAGGAAACUUGUGCUAAUACCUCAUAAGUCUUUACAGAGAAAGCUUUAUGCGCCAAUGGAUGAGCCCGCACUUGAUUAGUUUGUUGGUGAGGUAAUGGCUCACCAAGACUUUGAUCAAUAGCUGAUUUGAGAGGAUGAUCAGCCACAUUGGGACUGAGACACGGCCCAAACUCCUACGGGAGGCAGCAGUAGGGAAUCUUGCACAAUGGGGGAAACCCUGAUGCAGCGAUGCCGCGUGAGUGAAGAAGGCCUUUGGGUUGUAAAGCUCUUUCGUCGGGGAAGAAAAUGACUGUACCCGAAUAAGAAGGUCCGGCUAACUUCGUGCCAGCAGCCGCGGUAAUACGAAGGGACCUAGCGUAGUUCGGAAUUACUGGGCUUAAAGAGUUCGUAGGUUGUUAAAAAAGUUGGUGGUGAAAUCCCAGAGCUUAACUCUGGAACUGCCAUCAAAACUUUUUAGCUAGAGUUUGAUAGAGGAAAGCAGAAUUUCUAGUGUAGAGGUGAAAUUCGUAGAUAUUAGAAAGAAUACCGAUUGCGAAGGCAGCUUUCUGGAUCAUUACUGACACUGAGGAACGAAAGCAUGGGUAGCGAAGAGGAUUAGAUACCCUCGUAGUCCAUGCCGUAAACGAUGUGUGUUAGACGUUGGAAAUUUAUUUUCAGUGUCGCAGCGAAAGCAAUAAACACACCGCCUGGGGAGUACGACCGCAAGGUUAAAACUCAAAUGAAUUGACGGGGACCCGCACAAGUAGUGGAGCAUGUGGUUUAAUUCGAAGAUACGCGCAGAACCUUACCAACACUUGACAUGUUCGUCGCGACUUUAAGAGAUUAAAGUUUUCGGUUCGGCCGGACGAAACACAGGUGCUGCAUGGCUGUCGUCAGCUCGUGUCGUGAGAUGUUGGGUUAAGUCCCGCAACGAGCGCAACCCUCACUUUUAGUUGCCAUCAUUUAGUUGGGCACUCUGAAAGAACUGCCAGUGAUAAGCUGGAGGAAGGUGGGGAUGACGUCAAGUCCUCAUGGCCCUUACGUGUUGGGCUACACACGUGCUACAAUGGCAUUUACAACAGGAAGCAAAACGGCGACGUUAAGCAAAUCCUAAAAAAAUGCCUCAGUUCGGAUUGUACUCUGCAACUCGAGUACAUGAAGCUGGAAUUACUAGUAAUCGCGGAUCAGCGCGCCGCGGUGAAUACGUUCCCG